CUGUAAUAUAAAUGGUUCUUUUGGAUAUCUACAUACCUGACAAGUGUCCUGUGUAAUGCAUCAGGGGACAGCACAGAUGCAUUACUGAAUAUACUUGUAGUAGAGUAAGCUGGUGUAUAAUCAAGUACUGAAUAAGUGCUCUGCAUUAUGGGCAGUCCUGGUUGGCCACUUCGUGCUCAUGUCAUCCCAAGCCCUUUCGUCCCAUACGGACAGGUAGGCAUGUGUGUCUGCUGGUAGUGUAAAUGUAAUGUUAAAGUAAAGUGUUACUUAGGGUAUGUCAAAUAUGUUUUGUUCGAAUGGUUUGUCUUUUUGACAAAUUGUACAGUGAGGCCGGAUAUAUUGGCGUUAUAUAGAUAACUAAUUGUAAGAGCAAUGUUUCCCAGCUUUCCCUAUUAGAGGAAGACUGUAGGUAUAUCUUGUAGACGGUGUUGGAAAAUAAUAUUCCAUAGCAUUGGUUCCCAAACUUUUUAGGUUCAAGGCGCAAUUAAUAUUUCAAUAUUUUUCCAAGGCGCCCCAAGUUAAAAUAAUUUCUUAGGUUGUAUAUCUGUACAUCGUAGCAACAUAUACUGGGCCCCUGUUCGGCAGAAAUGCUUGCCGUUCAUGCGCAGAUCCAGAACCUAAUCUCGGGAGAGGCACUGGUACAUUAUUUAAAGAAACAAUCCAGUCACAAUAACCAUUACAGUACUUUGCAGUGGUUAUGGUGCCAGUAGUGCCCUCCCAGAGUAAGUAGUCAAACUGAUUAAGAACAAUUUGCCAGCUUACCUGGGAUCUGCCGGGAAAGGGGCAGCAGUGUGUCUGAAGUGUGCAAUAUGUGUGUCUGAGUGGGGGAGUGAGUGUGUGUCUGUGUGAGGGGUGCAGUGUGCGUGUGUGGGGUGCAGUGAGUGUACAGGGGUGCAUUGUGUUUGUAAAGGAUGUAGU